UAAAAAAAGCUAUAACUUAUACGAAAAGCCCUGUCCCUCCACUUUCUAUUUUACAUAACAAGGAAAAUAUUCACGCAAGUUGUUCUGUAUUGUUUCGAACAUAUAUAUAAGUUAGGCAGAGAGAACUAAAUAUUCAAGAUAUAUUGGUUCAUUGAAGAUGACCCGAAAUACGACAAUCGUUAUCUUGGUCCUGACCAUAUGUACUUCCCUUGUCCAUGUGUACGCGCAAUAUGCUUCAGCACCAUCCGCAUUAACCUCCAAUUAUGGUGGCUCGAGUUGGGCCUGGCCUAACUGGCCACUACGCCACAAAUGCUGGAAAAAGAACGAAGAAUACAAGACCUGUGUAAGCGGAAGUUGCAGCGAAUGGACUUGUCAAUAUCUCUACAAAGGCUGGCCUACUCUAUGCACCUACGACUGCCAGAGUGGAUGUUUCUGUAAGGAAGGAUACUUCCGGAAUCGCCGUGGCAAGUGUGUACUUGGAUACCGGUGUUUCAAAGAAAUAUUGCCUGUUGUGGGAUCGUUUAAUGAGUAAUAGUAAUCAAGUAUUCAUGACGGUAGUUUCUUUUAGAGGCCUUUUAAUUUUACUUAUAAAGAAUUUGCAGCUUCUUGAAUGGUUCGACA